rnacentral:rRNA from 1 species
UACGUAGGGUGCAAGCGUUGUCCGGAAUUAUUGGGCGUAAAGAGCUCGUAGGCGGCUUGUCACGUCGGAUGUGAAAAUCAGGACUCAACCCUGGACCUGCAUUCGAUACGGGCAGGCUAGAAUUCGGUAGGGGAGACUGGAAUUCCUGGUGUAGCGGUGAAAUGCGCAGAUAUCAGGAGGAACACCGGUGGCGAAGGCGGGUCUCUGGGCCGAUAUUGACGCUGAGGAGCGAAAGCGUGGGGAGCGAACAGG